UACGGGGGGGGCAAGCGUUGUUCGGAAUUACUGGGCGUAAAGGGCUCGUAGGUGGCCAACUAAGUCAGACGUGAAAUCCCUCAGCUUAACUGGGGAACUGCGUCUGAUACCGGAUGGCUUGAGUUUGGGAGAGGGAUGCGGAAUUCCAGGUGUAGCGGUGAAAUGCGUAGAUAUCUGGAGGAACACCGGUGGCGAAGGCGGCAUCCUGGACCGGUAUUGACGCUGAUGCGCGAAAGCCAGGGGAGCAAACGGG
rnacentral:rRNA from 1 species